rnacentral:rRNA from 1 species
CGGCAACAGCUCAAAUUUGAAAUCUGGCCCCCGGGCCCGAGUUGUAAUUUGCAGAGGAUGCUUUUGGCGAGGUGCCUUCCGAGUUCCCUGGAACGGGACGCCAUAGAGGGUGAGAGCCCCGUACGGUCGUGCCACCGAGCCUCUGUAAAGCUCCUUCGAC